CGGAGCUGCAGCUGCCGGCCUAUACCACAGCCACACCAGAUCUGAGUUGCAUCUUUGACUGCAUCUUGCAGCAACACUGGAUCCUUAACCCAGUGAGUGAAGCCAGCAAUCGAACCCACAUCCUCAUGGAUACUAGUUGGGUACUUAACCCACUUCUGAAGCCACAACGUGAACUCCAGAAGUUCUUAAGUCUAUUGAUUUCAUCCAUAUUUUCUUUUAUGGUUUGUGCUUUUUUUGUGCUCAAUUUAAGAAAUCUUCCUCUACUCCUAAUAUAAUAAAGGUAUUUUCCCACAUAUCAUUUAAGAAGUUUGCCAUUUUGCCUUCCACCUUUAGGUCUCAAUCUACCUGGAAUUGUCUCUUGCCUAUUGUAUGAGGCAGUGGUCCACUGCUUUCCCACAGAGAUUCAGAAUGGCCUCAGCAUGGUUUACUGAAAGCCCAGUCUCUUCUCCCACAUCUGCAAUGUACUGGAGGAUUGCUCUGCUUGUGUGGUUUUUGUUAUGCACUAUUGGUCUCUGCAUACAAGUCCAUGCCAACUGUACUUUGCCUUCCUUAGUACAGUUCUUUCUGAAGUCUGUUAAUCUGGUACAUCAAGUUCUCUCACCCUGUUCUCCCUUUAGGAGCUCUCCUCCUUUCUGGCUAUUGUCGGUCCUUUCCCUCACAUAUAAAUUUUAGAAUUGACUACCAGGUUCCACUAAAAAUUUUCAAACCUGGGAAGUUUCCUUGUGGUGCAGCAAGUUAAGGACCUGGCAGUGUCACUGCAGUGGCUUAGGCUGCUGAUAUGGUAACGGUCCAAUCCCUGGCCUGGGAACUUCCACAUGCUGUGGGAAUGACAAAAAAAAAAAAAAGUAAUUCUGUUACAAGUCUGUCUAGUUUUAAAUUUCAUUUUAAUUGAAUCUGCAGAUACAUUUAGGGAAAACUAAAACUAUCAAACAGAGUCUUAUUUAAUAACCUGACAUAUUUAUUUUAGGAUUUUAAUGUCUUUUCAUAGCAUUUUAUCAUCUCCUUCAAAAAGGGAUUUUAUAUAUAUUUUAUUAAAUUUAUUCCUGGGAGAGUUCCUGUUGUGGUGCAGUGGAAACAAAUCCAACUAGGAACCAUGAGGUUGCAGGUUCGAUCCCUGGCCUUGCUCAUCGGGUUCGUUAACUGCUGAGCUAUGACAGGAACUCCUCAAUUGUCUGCUAUUAAACCCACCUUGUGUCCCUAGGAUAAAUCCAAUAUGCUAGCACUUUUAAUGCAUUGUUCCAUCUGACUUGCUAAUGUUUUGUUUAGAAUACCCACAUCUUAUUUUAUGAGUGUGAGUAGACAGCAAUUUUCCUUUCCUGUACUGUGCUUUUCUGAUUUUGGUUAUCAAGGUCAUGUUAGUCUGAUUAAAUACUCCCCUAUGGAAUGGUACAUCUAGAAAUGAUAUCAGCUCUGGAGUCCCCAAAAUAAUAUACAUAUUUAAUAAAUUAAGUUAUAACAUAUAGCCCCAAAUAUUCAUUCAAUCCAUUUCCAUUAAUAUACUUAAAAACCAUUCACGAGUGCCAUUUAUCUAUAGGAGAGAAAUAUACACAUCUGUAGAUACAGAUAUUACUCUUCUC
rnacentral:lncRNA from 1 species